rnacentral:rRNA from 1 species
UACGUAGGGUGCGAGCGUUACUCGGAAUUACUGGGCGUAAAGCGUGCGCAGGCGGUGCUGGAAGCCCGAUGUGAAAUCCCCGGGCUUAACCUGGGAACUGCAUUGGUGACUGCAUUGCUGGAGUAUGGCAGAGGGGGGUGGAAUUCCACGUGUAGCAGUGAAAUGCGUAGAGAUGUGGAGGAACACCGAUGGCGAAGGCAGCCCCCUGGGCCAAUACUGACGCUCAUGCACGAAAGCGUGGGGAGCAAACAGG